UACGUAGGGUGCGAGCGUUGUCCGGAAUUACUGGGCGUAAAGAGCUCGUAGGUGGUUUGUCGCGUUGUUCGUGAAAACUUGGGGCUUAACCCUGAGCUUGCGGUCGAUACGGGCAUCACUGGAGUUCGGCAGGGGAGACUGGAAUUCCUGGUGUAGCGGUGAAAUGCGCAGAUAUCAGGAGGAACACCGGUGGCGAAGGCGGGUCUCUGGGCCGAUACUGACGCUGAGGAGCGAAAGCGUGGGGAGCGAACAGG
rnacentral:rRNA from 1 species